CUGUAAGGAAACCUGUGGAGGAAGAAACAUUCUCAUUGAAACAACUGAAGAUACAUAUCAGAGAGGCAGAUUCAGUAUCAGAUAUGAAAAACGAGAUAUUUUUUCUACUGAUUUUCUACAUGUGAGCAUAACAGAUCUGAAAACAACAGACUCAGGACGGUACCGGUGUCGCUCAGAUGAAACCUUUGAAGGAACUCUAUAUGAUAAUUUUAAUCUUGUUGUGACAGAAGCUUCUACCACAAGCGCAGCAACUACGUCAAGAAGAAGAACGACAGCAGCAACUCAGAGUCCGAGUUUCUCUCCUUCUCCAUCUGAAACCAUCAAACUCUCUGAGAAACCAGCUGCAGCUUCAGGUCUGCAGCUUUAUGUGGUUUUGUCUCUGGUCGUCAAGAUCAUCUUGUUAUCAACGCCUGUGGUUAUUUUCUGCAUGAAGAGGAGGGCCAUGAACAGCAGAGAGUUUUAUUAGUYCAGAACAAGUGUCUGUCGUCUGUCUGAAGCUUCAUUGGAUAUAUUGGAAGAAUCAACAGAGCAGUCAGAUCCCUAAACAGGAAGGAGUAAAAAUAAAGAUUCAGCAACAAAUUUACAGAAACAAGAAAGUUACUUAUAAACAUUAAACAUAUGUUCCUCUUUCAGCUGCAUAAUUUCUGGAGAGCAAAAUGUUUCCAACAUGCUCUGAUCAUCAGUCAGCUGUGGUUUUCUAGGACUUAAUCUCUGAUCUAAAUGUUUUUCAGAUUCUGCUGUGGAAACAGAGAACGAUGGGGUCAACCAGGAGUGUAUGAAUAUUUAUGAAGCACCAGAGUUUCUAUAAUCACCUCAGUGAAACAACUCAGAGAGAGAAGAGUUUACAUUUGUCAUUUUAAGACAUCCCCUCCCUAAUUUAUAAUAUCAUUAGAGCUGCUUACCAAGUACAAACAUGGUAAACUUUCAGGUUAUUUUAUACUUUUAUUUUUAAAUAUGUUUGUUUGAAGUGAUUUUCUGUCUUUUGUAAAUGUGAA